rnacentral:rRNA from 1 species
GGUGGGGGGGGGGGGGGUGGGGGGGGGAGGGGGGGCGGGGGGGGGGAGGAGGAGGUUGGGGCGCUGAUGUGAGCGGCGGGCGGGUGGGUAACACGUGGAUAACCUACAUGUAAGACUGGGAUAGCGUCGGGGAACCGGAGGUAAUACCGGAUAAUAUUUUGAACCGCAUGGUGCAACGGUGGCAGACUGUCUUGCUGUCACUUAUAGAUGGAUCCGCGCUGCAUUAGCUAGUUGGUGAGGUAACGGCUUACCAAGGCAACGAUGCAUAGCCGACCUGAGAGGGUGAUCGGCCACACUGGAGCUGAGACACGGUCCAGACUCCUACGGGAGGCAGCAGUAGGGAAUCUUCCGCAAUGGGCGAAAGCCUGACGGAGCAACGCCGCGUGAGUGAUGAAGGUCUCCGGAUCGUAAAACUCUGUUAUUAGGGAAGAACAUAUGUGUAAGUAACUGUGCACAUCUUGACGGUACCUAAUCAGAAAGCCACGGCUAACUACGUG